GGGGUUGUCUAACAGAACAGGGUUGUUGUGUUGAGGGGGUUGUCUAACAGAACAGGGUUGUUGUGUUGAGGGGGUUGUCUAACAGAAUAGGGUUGUUGUGUUGAGGGGGUUGUCUAACAGAACAGGGUUGUUGUGUUGAGGGGGUUGUCUAACAGAACAGGGUUGUUGUGUUGAGAGGGUUGUCUAACAGUACAGGGUUGUUGUGUUGAGAGGGUUGUCUAACAGUACAGGGUUGUUGUGUUGAGAGGGUUGUCUAACAGUACAGGGUUGUUGUGUUGAGAGGGUUGUCUAACAGUAGGGUUGUGUUGAGAGGGUUGUCUGACAGAACAGGGUUGUUGUGUUGAGAGGGUUGUCUACAGUACAGGGUUGUGUUGUGUUCAGUGUUUUUGUGUUCAGUUGUCUAACAGGCC
ensembl:lncRNA